rnacentral:rRNA from 1 species
UACAGAGGUGGCAAGCGUUGUUCGGAAUUACUGGGCGUAAAGGGCGCGUAGGCGGCCUUCUAAGUCAGACGUGAAAUCCCCCGGCUUAACCUGGGAACUGCGUCUGAUACUGGGAGGCUAGAGCGCGGGAGAGGGAUGCGGAAUUCCAGGUGUAGCGGUGAAAUGCGUAGAUAUCUGGAGGAACACCGGUGGCGAAGGCGGCAUCCUGGACCGACAUUGACGCUGAGGCGCGAAAGCCAGGGGAGCAAACGGG